CGGGGGGGCAAGCGUUGUUCGGAAUUACUGGGCGUAAAGGGUGCGUAGGCGGUUCGCUAUGUCGGAUGUGAAAACUCUGGGCUCAACCCAGAGCCUGCAUCCGAAACUGACGGGCUAGAGUUCUGGAGGGGGUAGCGGAAUUCCUGGUGUAGCGGUGAAAUGCGUAGAUAUCAGGAGGAACACCGGUGGCGAAGGCGGCUACCUGGACAGAAACUGACGCUGAGGCGCGAAAGCUAGGGGAGCAAAACAGGAUUAGAUACCCUGGUAGUCCUAGCCCUAAACGAUGGAUACUUGGUGUGACGGGGAUUGAGUCCCGUCGUGCCGAAGCUAACGCAUUAAGUAUCCCGCCUGGGAGUACGGUCGCAAGGCUG
rnacentral:rRNA from 1 species